rnacentral:rRNA from 1 species
UACGGAAUGUGCAAACGUUAUUCGGAAUCACUGGGCUUAAAGAGUCCGUAGGCGGCUUGUUAGGUGAGGUGUGAAAUCCCUCGGCCCAACCGAGGAAUUGCGCUUCAAACCGGCAAGCUAGAGGAGGAUAGAGGUGGGCGGAACUGAUGGUGGAGCGGUGAAAUGCGUUGAUAUCAUCAGGAACACCGGAGGCGAAGGCGGUCCACUGGGUCCUUCUGACGCUGAGGGACGAAAGCUAGGGGAGCGAACGGG